CCUACGGGCGGCUGCAGUGAGGAAUAUUGGUCAAUGGACGAGAGUCUGAACCAGCCAAGUAGCGUGAAGGAUGACUGCCCUAUGGGUUGUAAACCUCUUUUAUCUGGGAAUAAAAUGUUCCACGUGUGGGAUUUUGUAUGUACCAUAUGAAUAAGGAUCGGCUAACUCCGUGCCAGCAGCCGCGGUAAUACGGAGGAUCCGAGCGUUAUCCGGAUUUAUUGGGUUUAAAGGGAGCGUAGGUGGAUUGUUAAGUCAGUUGUGAAAGUUUGCGGCUCAACCGUAAAAUGGCAGUUGAAACUGGCAGUCUUGAGUACAGUAGAGGUGGGCGGAAUUCGUGGUGUAGCGGUGAAAUGCUUAGAUAUCACGAAGAACUCCGAUUGCGAAGGCAGUUCACUGGACUGCAACUGACACUGAGGCUCGAAAGUGUGGGUAUCAAACAGGAUUAGAUACCCUGGUAGUC
rnacentral:rRNA from 1 species